AUCCAGACUCCUACGGGAGGCAGCAGUGGGGAAUAUUGCACAAUGGGGGAAACCCUGAUGCAGCGACGCCGCGUGAGCGAUGAAGUAUUUCGGUAUGUAAAGCUCUAUCAGCAGGGAAGAAAAUGACGGUACCUGACUAAGAAGCCCCGGCUAACUACGUGCCAGCAGCCGCGGUAAUACGUAGGGGGCAAGCGUUAUCCGGAUUUACUGGGUGUAAAGGGAGCGUAGACGGCUGUGCAAGCCAGAUGUGAAAGCCCGGGGCUCAACCCCGGGACUGCAUUUGAAACUGUGUGGCUGGAGUGUCGGAGAGGCAGGCGGAAUUCCUAGUGUAGUGGUGAAAUGCGUAGAUAUUAGGAGGAACACCAGUGGCGAAGGCGGCCUGCUGGACGAUGACUGACGUUGAGGCUCGAAAGCGUGGGGAGCAAACAGGAUUAGAUACCCUUGUA
rnacentral:rRNA from 1 species